rnacentral:lncRNA from 1 species
GAAAUAUCUAAUUGCACAAUAUUGUGCAAUAGCAAGAAAUUUUCAAUUGAUUGGAGUUAUCUUUCUUUGUCCAGAAUAGUAGUUGAAUCAACUUAAAUCAUUGUUUUAUACAAUACACACUGUAUAUUCACUUUUACUACCAACUGAUAAAUUAAAACAAUCUACCAUUCAGUGAUAACAAGCACUUUUUGUUACAUUUUAAUAUUUUAUGAUGUAUUUAAAUGAGUAGUUAUUGUUGCAAACUCCAUUAGAAAUUUGAAUUGAGAUCAGUUUUGAAAAAAGGGAAAGGGGGAUGUGAAAAAAAAUGGUGGUUGGGGGGGGGUUGUUGUUACAUUUUUCUCAUUUCAGAUUUCAUAAAUAAAAAGAAAAUUUCUUCAAACAUUUUUUUGAGAGGAUUAAUAUUCAACAGCAUAGUGAUUGCUCAAAGACAAAAAAAUAUUUUAAGUUCAUUAGACCACAUUCAUUCUGUGUCCAAAACCUAUGCUGUGUCAACUAUUUAAUCACAAUCUAAAUUUAGAGCUGAAUCCAGCUUGAAUGUUGUGUCCAUACUUGCCCCAACCGUUCAGGGUUCAACCUCUGCGGUCGUAUAAAGCUGCGCCCUGCGGAGCAUCUGGUUAUGGGCUGUCAGGGGAUGGAAAAUUGGAUAAAAACGUACGGUUUUAUUGGAAGAAAAAUGCAGAUACGCUAUAGGAAGAAAUUUUUAUUUCUAUGUAUGUAAAUUGAUUACUUAUAGGCCCUAUUGUAGAUAUUCAAAAUAACGAAUUGAUUGUUAAAGUAAAGUUAAUUAUUAGAUAAAGUCAGGUAGGUGGUAAGUUAUUUUGCAGCUGCCUGGUUAUCUCGGUUGAAUUGUUUUACAUUCUGUCAUGUUAUGAUCUGUAACAGCUUUGCUCCCUAUUGUAGUCCGUACGAUACAGUUUUCAAAUAUCUACGUCGUUUCAGUCUGUGUUGAAUAUUUGUUUCAAUUGAAAUUCGGUUUUGUAAAUUUUUUAUACUUU